rnacentral:rRNA from 1 species
AUUGAACGCUGGCGGCAUGCCUAACACAUGCAAGUCGAACGCGUGGCGGACGGGUGAGUAAUGUCUGGGAAACUUCCUGCUGGAGGGGGAUAACUACUGGAAACGGUAGCUAAUAACGCAUACCAUCAGAUUUGCCCAGAGGGGAUUAGCUUGUUGGUGGGGUAACGGCGCACCAAGGCAACGAUCCCUAGCUGGUCUGCGAGGAUGUCCAGCAACAUUGGAAAGGAGACACGGUCCAGACUCCUACGGGAGGCAGCAGUGGGGAAUAUUGAACAAUGGGCGCAAGCCUGAUGCAGCCAUGCCGGGUGUAUGAAGAAGGCCUUCGGGUUGUAAAGUACUUUCAGCGGGGAGGCGUUACCCGCAGAAGAAGCACCGGCUAACUCCGUGCCAGCAGCCGCGGUAAUUC